AAAAGAGAAAAGAAUCCAAAACUUUUUGAAUGUUGCUUUACAUCCCUUUCGUAGAGAGAAAACAUCAAACAAAAAAAAUUGUGUGGCUAACAUAAGUUUUUGACUUAAGCAGCAGAGGGGUCAGCUGAUUCAGCUGCAGCUGCUCUUUUCUUUGCAAAAUAUUCCUCAGCUCUAGCAAGGUUCUUGGCAACUGAUGGUUUUACCCAUUUCUUUCUGCCUGGUAGAACAGUCAAUGAGCAACCAGCAGCCUCUAGUUUCUCCUUGGCUGACGUUGAAAAAGCGCGGGCUUUGAAGUUGAGUUUCACGCUUAGCUCACCAUCGCCUAAGAUCUUAAGUGGAAGUCUCCUUUCUCUCCCUGAAGGAUUUAUUAAACCCUUUUGCUUGAGGGACUCAAGUGAAACCUCUUCCCCUUCUUGAAAUCCUGCCUCUUCUAUGUCCUUCAAGUUCACAGGUACAUAUUUGGGAAGUCCAGCAUGCAUGCCUCCAGCAAUUCCUCUCAACUUAGGAAGUCUCCUAUAGAGAGGCAUUUGACCCCCUUCAAACCCCUUUCUAACUCCAGGUCCAGACCUUGAUUUUUGACCUCUCAUACCAAAACCACAACUACCCCCUUGUCCAGCUGAAUGCCCUCUACCUUUCCUCUUCCUAUUCUUGGUAGCCCCAGGUUGAGGACCCAAGUUAUUAAGCCGAAAACGAACACUCCCAGUUGCAGAAUCAGCACCAAAACUUGCAGUUUGGUUGAAAACAACAAAUGGGGUUCUUGUUAUUGACUUAGAUUUCAAAUUGCAGACCUUUAUUAAAGGCAAAAGCUUCGAACUUGACUUCAAAUUACUUACAUUACCCUUGAAUGAUGAAGAAAACUGGGUAAUGAUUGAAUUUGUUCUUGUAGGUGAUGCAGAGGAGAUGGAGAGUAGAGACGCCAUUGUUGAUAAGGGAGAACUCAGGAUUGUGUUCACUGUCCAAGCAAAAAG
rnacentral:misc_RNA from 1 species